rnacentral:rRNA from 1 species
UUAAGCGACUAAGCGUACACGGUGGAUGCCCUGGCAGUCAGAGGCGAUGAAGGACGUGCUAAUCUGCGAUAAGCGCCGGUAAGGUGAUAUGAACCGUUAUAACCGGCGAUUUCCGAAUGGGGAAACCCAGUGUGAUUCGUCACACUAUCAUUAACUGAAUCCAUAGGUUAAUGAGGCGAACCGGGGGAACUGAAACAUCUAAGUACCCCGAGGAAAAGAAAUCAACCGAGAUUCCCCCAGUAGCGGCGAGCGAACGGGGAGGAGCCCAGAGCCUGAAUCAGCAUGUGUGUUAGUGGAAGCGUCUGGAAAGGCGCGCGAUACAGGGUGACAGCCCCGUACACAAAAGCGCAUGUGCUGUGAGCUCGAUGAGUAGGGCGGGACACGUGGUAUCCUGUCUGAAUAUGGGGGGACCAUCCUCCAAGGCUAAAUACUCCUGACUGACCGAUAGUGAACCAGUACCGUGAGGGAAAGGCGAAAAGAACCCCGGCGAGGGGAGUGAAAAAGAACCUGAAACCGUGUACGUACAAGCAGUGGGAGCACAGGUUUACCUGUGUGACUGCGUACCUUUUGUAUAAUGGGUCAGCGACUUAUAUUCUGUAGCAAGGUUAACCGAAUAGGGGAGCCGGAGGGAAACCGAGUCUUAAUUGGGCGUUAAGUUGCAGGGUAUAGACCCGAAACCCGGUGAUCUAGCCAUGGGCAGGUUGAAGGUUGGGUAACACUAACUGGAGGACCGAACCGACUAAUGUUGAAAAAUUAGCGGAUGACCUGUGGCUGGGGGUGAAAGGCCAAUCAAACCGGGAGAUAGCUGGUUCUCCCCGAAAGCUAUUUAGGUAGCGCCUCGUGAACUCAUCUCCGGGGGUAGAGCACUGUUUCGGCUAGGGGGCCAUCCCGGCUUACCAACCCGAUGCAAACUGCGAAUACCGGAGAAUGUUAUCACGGGAGACACACGGCGGGUGCUAACGUCCGUCGUGAAGAGGGAAACAACCCAGACCGCCAGCUAAGGUCCCAAAGUCAUGGUUAAGUGGGAAACGAUGUGGGAAGGCCCAGACAGCCAGGAUGUUGGCUUAGAAGCAGCCAUCAUUUAAAGAAAGCGUAAUAGCUCACUGGUCGAGUCGGCCUGCGCGGAAGAUGUAACGGGGCUAAACCAUGCACCGAAGCUGCGGCAGCGACACUGUGUGUUGUUGGGUAGGGGAGCGUUCUGUAAGCCUGUGAAGGUGGCCUGUGAGGGUUGCUGGAGGUAUCAGAAGUGCGAAUGCUGACAUAAGUAACGAUAAAGCGGGUGAAAAGCCCGCUCGCCGGAAGACCAAGGGUUCCUGUCCAACGUUAAUCGGGGCAGGGUGAGUCGACCCCUAAGGCGAGGCCGAAAGGCGUAGUCGAUGGGAAACGGGUUAAUAUUCCCGUACUUGGUGUUACUGCGAAGGGGGGACGGAGAAGGCUAUGUUGGCCGGGCGACGGUUGUCCCGGUUUAAGCGUGUAGGUGUGUGUUCCAGGUAAAUCCGGUUCACUUUAACACUGAGGCGUGACGACGAGGCACUACGGUGCUGAAGCAACAAAUGCCCUGCUUCCAGGAAAAGCCUCUAAGCAUCAGGUAACAUCAAAUCGUACCCCAAACCGACACAGGUGGUCAGGUAGAGAAUACCAAGGCGCUUGAGAGAACUCGGGUGAAGGAACUAGGCAAAAUGGUGCCGUAACUUCGGGAGAAGGCACGCUGACACGUAGGUGAAGUGAUUUACUCAUGGAGCUGAAGUCAGUCGAAGAUACCAGCUGGCUGCAACUGUUUAUUAAAAACACAGCACUGUGCAAACACGAAAGUGGACGUAUACGGUGUGACGCCUGCCCGGUGCCGGAAGGUUAAUUGAUGGGGUCAGCGCAAGCGAAGCUCCUGAUCGAAGCCCCGGUAAACGGCGGCCGUAACUAUAACGGUCCUAAGGUAGCGAAAUUCCUUGUCGGGUAAGUUCCGACCUGCACGAAUGGCGUAAUGAUGGCCAGGCUGUCUCCACCCGAGACUCAGUGAAAUUGAACUCGCUGUGAAGAUGCAGUGUACCCGCGGCAAGACGGAAAGACCCCGUGAACCUUUACUAUAGCUUGACACUGAACAUUGAGCCUUGAUGUGUAGGAUAGGUGGGAGGCUUUGAAGCGUGGACGCCAGUCUGCGUGGAGCCGACCUUGAAAUACCACCCUUUAAUGUUUGAUGUUCUAACGUGGACCCGUUACCCGGGUUGCGGACAGUGUCUGGUGGGUAGUUUGACUGGGGCGGUCUCCUCCUAAAGAGUAACGGAGGAGCACGAAGGUUGGCUAAUCCUGGUCGGACAUCAGGAGGUUAGUGCAAUGGCAUAAGCCAGCUUGACUGCGAGCGUGACGGCGCGAGCAGGUGCGAAAGCAGGUCAUAGUGAUCCGGUGGUUCUGAAUGGAAGGGCCAUCGCUCAACGGAUAAAAGGUACUCCGGGGAUAACAGGCUGAUACCGCCCAAGAGUUCAUAUCGACGGCGGUGUUUGGCACCUCGAUGUCGGCUCAUCACAUCCUGGGGCUGAAGUAGGUCCCAAGGGUAUGGCUGUUCGCCAUUUAAAGUGGUACGCGAGCUGGGUUUAGAACGUCGUGAGACAGUUCGGUCCCUAUCUGCCGUGGGCGCUGGAGAACUGAGGGGGGCUGCUCCUAGUACGAGAGGACCGGAGUGGACGCAUCACUGGUGUUCGGGUUGUCAUGCCAAUGGCACUGCCCGGUAGCUAAAUGCGGAAGAGAUAAGUGCUGAAAGCAUCUAAGCACGAAACUUGCCCCGAGAUGAGUUCUCCCUGAGACUUAGAGUCUCCUGAAGGAACGUUGAAGACGACGACGUUGAUAGGCCGGGUGUGUAAGCGCAGCGAUGCGUUGAGCUAACCGGUACUAAUGAACCGUGAGGCUUAACCUU